rnacentral:misc_RNA from 1 species
CUUAUUGUGCAGUUUCAGUGUGCAAGAACUAAUAUGAAUGCUGGGAAAAAGGCAUUGGUGUGAAUAAUAAGCUAUAUAUGAAUAUGUAGCCUACAUUAUUGUUUGCAUUAGGAAAUUUAUUAAGGUAUUUUCUUUUUUCAAAAACCAAUGCUUCAUUAUUGUAAGGUGAUUUGCUACAUGAAUACAACAGUUGUGUGCAUUGUCUUGUUUUAGAGAUAUGUACAUUUUCUUUUAAUGAUAUUGCAUUAUUCCCUCUCUGAAGAAAUUACAACUACAUCAUGUACAUAUAUUUGUUAUCAUGUAGUAUUUUAACUGCCAGCUCCGAGACCAGUAUAAAAAUGUUGCCCUUUUUGUAUAUAUUGAGUAAAUUUUUAGUAUUUGAAAGAUUACAUCUCAUAUUGUGCAAUUAAAAGCAAAUGGAACUCUUCUUUGCUGAAUGUCUAUCCUAUAAAUCUUGCUUUUUCUAUUGACCUCCCUAUUUUCUCUGUCUGUUGUGGCCCAAUUAACACACUGAAGUACUAACAGUGGAGUUGUCCUAUUAUCCUGUGCUACGAGUGAUCCCAUGUUGAUGUUGUCCUUCAGUUUUUGAUCUUUUUUGUCUGAGAGACAUCAUUUUUUUUUACUUCGUGUAAAAUUGGGAUACUUAAUAUUUUGUGAUCAGUGUAAGUGCAAAUAUAAUAAAUUGUC